rnacentral:lncRNA from 1 species
UAUUAUACAUUUCUAUUUUCCAGGAUUCAGACUACAGAAGCCAUAGUUACAUGGAGCGUGUUCUGAAGCUUGAAUUCAGGAGUAAAUGAGGAUAAGCAAAUGACACAGUACAUUUAAAUGGCCUCUCUGUAAAUGUAGCACAUGAUUCUGCAAUGGCUAAGCUCCAUGUAAAGCACCUCUUCUUGGACUUGACUUUCCAGUGUGCCUUCUUCCUGUAAGUGACACAGGAGCAGCAAGGACUGCAGGAGCACACAACCUGCCCCACAAGAUCUGUUUCAUGCAGCCUUGGGUUUCCAGAGGAUUCAUUUCUAAUCUCAUCUAUUUUCUGAUAUGUCACACAGGAUGCUUAUAUUUAAAAAGCAGGACAAGACAGUCUGGAGAACUUUUCAGCUCCUGCUGUUAACACACUAACACGAAACAGACACUCUGGUGGACUCCCUGCAAGUAGGCUGGGAGCAGCUGAUGCUGAGGCUUGUCACAGCACUCAGAGAAGUUCCUGUGAGCCGGAAUUGUUGAAGCUAAGUAAAUUACUCUCCUGCUUGGGUGCUCCCCUUGCCUUACCUUUGUGCCUCUCUAGGGCUUGGGUUUUGCCCAGCUUGUGGCUGAUGAACCAGAACCUAACUCUGUAUGCUGAGCGAUUGCAAAAAUGAAGGCAUUCAUGGUGAUGAUGAUUUAAAUGGUAACCCUUGGAGACUCGGGUUUGGAAUCAGCAUCAUGAAACUGUCUAUAUUAUUGAAUGUGAAAAACACAAGUCAAACACAGCAAUGAAUUAAGUAGUACAAAAACGUACAGUUGUUUCCUGCAUUAACGUGUAAUGUUGAAGCUUCCCUAAGCACAUCAAGAGAAGUACAUUGCGGAAACUACUCGGGCUUCUGUUCUCAAAAGGCAGGCAGACUACUCCGUGCUAAACCAUCUAAAUGUAUUGUAACAUAAUUAGAGUUGUUCAGAGUUCUAGGGAACAGCCUGUCAAUUCUUCCUGGAUUUCCUUUUUAAUUUGCCUCGGGAGCAUAGAAGACACUUCAGAGCCUAUUUAAAUAGAGACAAUCUUGCACAGGUAGAAAUGUAAAUAUCCCUGUAAGGCUAAGUGAUGAUGCUAAAAUAAGCUGUUGGAGAUAUUUGCCAACUGGUUUAAGCUACACAUUUGAGGAAGCAUGUCCUCUAGGGAGAUCAUUUUGAAUCUUGCAUUUGCCUAAUAAUUCUUCCCCAUUCCUAAAUAUGGGGAAUAUAUUUUAAAAACUGAGGAUUUUGUUAUUUUAAAAUUUUUAUAAUUUUGGAUCUUAUGACUGAGCAAUUCCAAAUAUUUAUUAAAUGUAUGUGUGCGUGCGUGUGUAUUCACCAAACAGCAUGUCUAAGAAUGUUUCAGCAGCAUCAUUUGGAAACAGCCCACAUAACCUACCUGCAGUAGAAUAGAUAAGUAAAUUGUGGUAUAAGGGAAUACUAUAAGGAAUAGUGAUAUAAAGGAAUACUAUACAACAACAAAAAGAAACAAUUAUGACUACCAGCAAGAUGGAUAAGUACCACCAAUGUAAUGUUGAUGAUGGAAACAGAUACAAAAUAGUACAUUGAUACAUAUUCAUGAUUACACAUAUAUUGUUCAAAAUCAGGCAAUUUUGAAGCUGCAAGUCAAGAUAGUAGUUAAUAAUAGAUAAGGAAACAAGGAGCCAUUCAAGGUUCUGGGGUGCUGGAAGUAUUUUCUCUCUUCAUCCAGACAUACAUGGGUGUGUUUAGUUCAGAAAAAUUAAUUGGACUCUACACUUAUGGCUUAUAUGCUAUCCUGUUAGAUAUUGCACUCAGUGGAAAUGUACUGAAACAAAAUAAAGUUGUUUCACAUUUUAAUUUUUACCCAAAGAAAAAAAUU